AACUGCACAAACACAAUCAAACUUUAUCAGAUGUUUACUCAUACAAUUACAACACUUACAUUUGUUUACAACUUUGAAUUGAAUUGGAGAAAGCUUUCGUUAGAAAGAGAAAAAAUAUUGCCACUGUAAGCAUAUUGAUAUAAUAAUAUGCUAAAAGAAGACAAAUAUGACAUUAAAAAAAGAAAAACUGAAAUUGAAGCCGCAAUUUGGCCAUUUUAUAAAAAAAAUUGUCGCUUGAAGAGGAGAUAUAUAAAAGUAUUCAAUUAAAAAGGCAAAAUCAACGCACAAAGACCGGGACUUGAUACAAAAGAAAAUGUGUUAGAUGCCUGGAUGCUGGGAUGGAAUUUCUUGAUAUGUUGUUAGCAGGUUUGCGUAAGGUGUAUCCAGUCCACACCCAACAUCGUUAAAAUAUAUACAUAUAUUUAGAAUAAGAAUAAAAUAAGAUUAUAUAUCAUUUGAAUUUGUUAAAUUAGAACAUAAAUUGCAUAAAUAUAAUAAUUUAUAUAUAAAUGUAAUUUUUAUAUUAAUAACUUGUAAAUGUAAAAAUUUAAUAAUAAGUUUAACUGUUUAAGUUUAUAUGAUUGUAUUAUCUACAUAUUUGAUUUUGUAAUAAUUAAAAAUGUAAUAAAAUAAAAUAAAAAACAAAACGAAAAUAAUUAUUUUUAACUGUUAGCGGAAAAAGAUAACAAAUAUAGGUAACAAGCUGCUAACCAAAAUAAUGACCCGUACGGUAACAAAUACAUCUGUUCUGAAUAACAUAGGGAUAACAUAUAUGCUAACAUUUGCUUCAGCAGAGGUAACAUAUAUAUAACAUGCCAAAUAUGAAAAUAUAUGAGGCCAUUAACAGACUGUUAGUUGUCAAAACUUGACCAAUAGGAGACAAGUAUAAGUGUUAUCGUAGAACGAGACCACUUAUGCAAAAUGUAAUUGGAUAGAGUGAGAAAACCGUUGAACGAGUAGGGGCAUAGUGUUACUUCUUUCCCACGCUUCGAACAAAAGUAACACACAAAUUAAUUUUUGCUAAUGUUUAGAGUAACAUAGCUGUAACAUGUUAGCUAAAAAUUACCCGUCUUGCAGGGUACAAGCUAUGAUAGCUUAUGACAAGCCAACAUAAUUAUGUUGGCUAAGUCUUCCAUACAAAAUAAGCUAAUAGCUUAAUUUGCUGGUAAGAUAAAACACGCCUAUUAUGUUCCAACAAAUUAAAAAAAAAAUAUAUGAAUAAACUUAAAUCGCUUUAAAAACCUCUUUUUUUAAACAAUUUGAAUUUCAAUUAAAUUCCGAACAACCCUUUAACGACAACCUGUCAUUGGUUGUUGGGUUCUUAACGCGAGGAAAUCUAUUUAUAUUAAGGAUCCAACCCUUAAGGUAAUUGAAGGAGGAAGUUAUGUCAGCUCCGGUGUCAUCGCUAACCCUAACCGUCUUUAAAAGUUUAAUAGCCUCAUCUAAAAAAUGAAUUUACUCGGGUGUUGCCGAAAAAACUUUCUUACUAGGCAAAAUAGCUUCAAAAUUACUACUAUUAAAUAAAUCAAAUAUCCUGUUAAUAAAAUAUAUUCUGCCGUAUUACAAAAACUAGGGGAAGGACAUGUUAAACGACCGGAAUAAGCGGAUAACAUUCCGGAAGCGACUGUGUCACUGGAAACUUGCCCUGCAAGUUUGACACUCAUUUUUUGAAAAUUGUUAGGGGAAAUAUGAGCAUCUGAAAGUUUCGGUGCACAACGAAUUGGAU